AACCAUUCUCACCUGCGGCUAGACCUGCGGAGGGAUCAUUAAAGAUUGACCGAAAGGUCUUAUCUCUAUAUCCCUCACCUCUGUGAACUGUGGACCUCCGGGUCUAUUUAACAAACAUCAGUGUAAUGAACGUAUAUAUCAUUAAACAAAACAAAACUUUUAACAACGGAUCU
rnacentral:misc_RNA from 1 species